rnacentral:rRNA from 1 species
CCUACGGGCGGCAGCAGUAGGGAAUUUUCCACAAUGGGCGCAAGCCUGAUGGAGCAACACCGCGUGAGUGAAGAAGGGUUUCGGCUCGUAAAGCUCUGUUGUUGGAGAAGAACGUGCGUGAGAGUAACUGUUCACGCAGUGACGGUAUCCAACCAGAAAGUCACGGCUAACUACGUGCCAGCAGCCGCGGUAAUACGUAGGUGGCAAGCGUUAUCCGGAUUUAUUGGGCGUAAAGCGAGCGCAGGCGGUUGCUUAGGUCUGAUGUGAAAGCCUUCGGCUUAACCGAAGAAGUGCAUCGGAAACCGGGCAACUUGAGUGCAGAAGAGGACAGUGGAACUCCAUGUGUAGCGGUGGAAUGCGUAGAGAUAUGGAAGAACACCAGUGGCGAAGGCGGCUGUCUGGUCUGCAACUGACGCUGAGGCUCGAAAGCAUGGGUAGCAAACAGGAUUAGAUACCCUAGUAGUC